UCACACAAGAGACCCAAAUUAACCGUAUGUCGGCGUAAAGAGUGGUACUACGAUAUCAUGAUAACUAGGAUUGAAAUGCGGCUAGGCUGUCAUAAGCUCAAGACGCACUUAAAGCCAUCUUUAAGAUGAUCCUAGCAUCUUUGAUCAAUUUAAUCCCACGAAAGCUAGGGCACAAACUGGGAUUAGAUACCCCAUUAUGCCUAGCCCUAAAUCUUGAUGCUUACCACACCAAAGCAUCCGCCUGAGAACUACGAGCACAAACGCUUAAAACUCUAAGGACUUGGCGGUGCUCCAAACCCACCUAGAGGAGCCUGUUCUAUAAUCGAUAACCCACGAUUCACCCGACCACCCCUUGCCAGAGCAGCCUACAUACCGCCGUCGCCAGCUCACCUCCCCUGAGAGCCCUACAGUGAGCACAAUAGCCUAAACCCGCUAAUAAGACAGGUCAAGGUAUAGCCUAUGGGGUGGAAGAAAUGGGCUACAUUUUCUACAAUAGAAAA
rnacentral:rRNA from 1 species